AGGUUCUUUCUGUGACAUGUUUUCAUGGUGUGGGAAUAAGACUUGGUGGUCUAAUACAGCUAAUAUGUAGGUUAGCUUCACAGCUUAUCUGUAAGGAUUGAGGCUGGGAAUGGUCAUUGGAGCUGAAAUUUAUGGUAACUUUUACUGUGGCUGCAUAAAAUGACUGUGUGAUAUCACUGUAACAGUGAAGAAUGUAAUUUAGACAAUUUUUGUGUACGCUUGAAAAAUUUUUUAUAAUUUAAAAAAAAAAAAAAAAAAAAAAUGUGUAAAGAUUCUCCAUUUUCAACAAGAUUGGAAGUUGUAGGUUAAAUUGUAUUUGAAAUUCAAAAUUUCGUUUUCUUUUUUCCAUUAAAGCCCUAUGGCAAUAUUUUGGUAGCUCUUCUCAUGUCAAUUAUUGCCUUGACAUAUUAAUUUUUAUUCUUUUUUUUUAAAUGAAGUGAAACGGACUAAUUUUACUUGAAGACCUACUUAAGAAAUAUUAAUAAUGGUCCGUGUCUAGUCAAAACACUUCCAGUAGGUUCAGAAUGAAGAAUCUUAAAAAAAAAAAAAAAAAAGAAAAAAAAAAAUGAAA